rnacentral:misc_RNA from 1 species
GUGAAUCAUCGAAUCUUUGAACGCAAAUUGCGCCUUUUUCGGAAGGCAUGCCUGUUUGAGGGUACCAUUUAACAAAUAAUGUGCAUUUCGUGUGCACACGUUGAUGAGCUUUCCAAAGUUAUGUAUUUUUACUUUUGGUGGCUCAUAAUAAACAGCGCUAUUCUAUUCUUCAGUUCGAGUGUAGUAAAAUUUUUUCUUCCUUGACUUGUUAAAAGCGUCAUCGUGCAAUUGGCUGUGUCG